CAGCCGCCGCGGUAAAACGUAGGGUGCAAGCGUUACUCGGAAUUACUGGGCGUAAAGCGUGCGUAGGUGGUGGUUUAAGUCCGUUGUGAAAGCCCUGGCUCAACCUGGGAAUUGCAGUGGAUACUGGAUCACUAGAGUGUGGUAGAGAAUAGUGGAAUUUCCGGUGUAGCGGUGAAAUGCGUAGAGAUCGGAAGGAACAUCUGUGGCGAAGGCGACUAUCUGGGCCAACACUGACGCUGAGGCACGAAAGCGUGGGGAGCAAACAGGAUUAGAUACCCCUGUAGUCCCUGUCUCUUAUACA
rnacentral:rRNA from 1 species